rnacentral:rRNA from 1 species
GACAGAGGGGGCAAGCGUUGUCCGGAUUUACUGGGCGUACAGCGCGCGCAGGCGGUGGUGUAGGUACCUGGUGACAGUCUCGGGCUCAACUCGAGGGGGUCUGGGUAGACCGCACCGCUGGAGGCAGGGAGAGGGAUGUGGAAUACCCGGUGGAGCGGUGAAAUGCGUAGAGAUCGGGUGGAACACCAGUGGCGAAGGCGGCAUCCUGGCCCUGACCUGACGCUGAGGCGCGAGAGCGUGGGGAGCAAACGGGAUUAGAAACCCUGUAGUCC